rnacentral:rRNA from 1 species
UACGUAGGGGGCGAGCGUUGUCCGGAGUUACUGGGCGUAAAGGGCACGCAGGCGGUGCGGCGCGUUUCGCGUGACAGCGGAGGGCUUAACUCUCCGAGGAUGCGAAAGACGGCGGCACUUGAGGGCCAGAGAGGGACACGGAAUUCCGGGUGGAGUGGUGAAAUGCGUAGAGAUCCGGAGGAACACCAAAGGCGAAGGCAGUGUCCUGGGGAGUACCUGACGCUCAGGUGCGAAAGCCAGGGGAGCGAACGGG